GGUAAUUCCAGCUCCAAUAGCGUAUAUUAAAGUUGUUGCGGUUAAAAAGCUUGUAGUUGGAUCUCGGCGGGCAGGGGGCGGUCCGUUAUUUGACGCGACUGCCCCAUUUGCCCGUGUUUCUUCGGCAGAACUCCCGGGGUGCUCUUCGCCGAGUGUCCCGUUGGGGGCUGCCAGGUUUACUUUGAAAAAAUUAGAGUGCUCCAAGCAGGCUCGACACGCCUGAAUAUUCGUGCAUGGAAUAAUGGAAUAGGACGUCGUUCCUAUUUUGUUGGUUUUCGGGAAUCGACGUAAUGAUUAAUAGGGACAGCCGGGGGCAUUAGUAUUCAGACGACAGAGGUGAAAUUCUUGGACCGUCUGGCGACUCACUGCUGCGAAAGCGUUUGCCAAGUAUGUUUUCAUUAAUCAAGAACGAAAGUUAGAGGUUCGAAGGCGAUCAGAUACCGCCCUAGUUCUAACCAUAAACGAUGCCAGCUAGCGAUCCGCAGACGUUUUUAUUGUAGGCUCUGCAGGAAGCUUCCGGGAAACCAAAGCGUUUGGGUUCCGGGGGAAGUAUGGUUGCAAAGCUGAAACUUAAAGAAAUUGACGGAAGGGCACCACCAGGCGUGGAACUUGCGGCUUAAUUUGACUCAACACUGGAAAUCUCACCAGGCCCGGACACCGGAAGGAUUGACAGAUUGAGAGCUCUUUCUCGAUU
rnacentral:rRNA from 1 species